rnacentral:rRNA from 1 species
GACGAACGCUGGCGGCGUGCUUAACACAUGCCAGUCGAACGGAAAGGCCUCUUUCGUGUGGUACUCGAGUGGCGAACGGGUGAGUAACACGCGAGUAACUUGCCCUUUACUUUGGGAUAAGUUCCGGAAACGGGGGUUAAUACAGGAUAGGAGCUCUUGCUUCAUGUUGGCGGCUGGAAAGUAUUGGCGGUUGGGGAUUGCCUCGCGGCGUAUCAGCUUGUUGGUGGGGUGGUGGCUUAUCAAGGCUUUGACGGGUAGCCGGACUGAAAGGGUGAGCGGGCACAAUGAGACUGAGAGACGGCCAAGACCCCUACGGGAAGCAGAAGUGGCAAAGAUUGAAAGAUGGGUAGAAGCGUGAUGCAGAAACGGCGUGGGCGGGUGGACGGACUUGGAGUUGGAUAGCGGUUUCGCUCAUGACGAAGCUUAGUGUGACGGUAGUUGGUAAAGAAGCACCGGCUAACUACGUG